rnacentral:lncRNA from 1 species
UUCUCUACAAAUUAAAGUGGUGGAUGAAUUUUAGGUUUUCAUCUUUUUCUCCUUCCUUUGAGCUGUCAUCGGACUGCUGCCCACCACCACUAGACUCCAUUCGGUAAUCUACAAAUGGAUCCAAAGUUUCACCACUUGUCUCUCUCACAUUCUACAUGUAUUCACAAAUUAUAUUUUCCUCUGAUUCCUAGCCAAGCUCCAUAGAUCUGAGAAAAAUCAAACACCAAAAUCACUUUCUUUUUUAAAUUCGUAAAGUUCAGGUCAUCUUCAUACCACACAACUUACAUAGGCAUGUAGGUCUCUUCAAUAUCUAUUAUUUGAUAUAAAUUUCAUGCCGAAUUUCUGGUGAGAAGUUUCUCAGCGAACUUAUCGCCUCUCAUUGCCACAAGUCAUCUAGCCGUCUACCUCAAAAUGGCCCCAAAAUUUACCACUUCUUCCCCUCACCAUCCUCUACAUGAACCCACAAAUAAUUUCCUUUUAUUCUUAACCAAACUCCAUAGAUCCGAGAAAAAAAAACAUCAGCCGUCACUUUCUUUCUAAAAUUCAAAAGUUUAAGUCAUCUUCAUCCCACACAACUUACAUAGGUAUGUAGAUCUCUUCAGGAUCUAUCGAUUGAUACAAAUUUCAGGCUAAAACGCCAACAAAAAAUGUUUCGAUGAACUUUCUCGGCAAAACCACUAGCGGCAUCAAACCACCACAGCUCCAGAGACCCAACCAACAUCCUCUUCCCCUAUGCCCCAACUAAAGUUUUUUUUGUUACAGGUCAACAUCCCGGGGAUGUACACUAUUGAGAUUUGAAUAGAGAGUCAGAGAUCCGGCGAUUACAUGAAAAAUCAACUUUACCUACAAACUUUUUCUCCAGCGCAAUUUUGUUAGUAUCUCUGAUCUGUUUCACCUUUUAUUUUUUAUUGGUAUUUCAUGUCUUGUAUGGUAGAUGUGUUUUUUAUUUACCAUGGUUAUAUAUUUUUUUAUAGCAUAUCUAGAUUUUCUUUAUAUUUUUAUGGUAUUGUUUUUACAAUUUUUGGCUAAUUUUUUGUGUUAAUUUGAUUCUUUUACUUUGUUCUAUCAUUUUUCUAUAUAGUGAAUGUUUGUUAUUUAAUUGCUAUUUUAUAUUUCUUGUUGUUCAUUGUUUUAGAUGUGUUCAACAUUAAUCAUUUAUUGAGGAAUUUUUUGUUGCUGGAACUUGUUAUCUGUUUGUGAAACUUUGAUCCAUCACUCAUUAGACCACUAUCGUCCUUGACCAUUGUUUGAAAUUGUGACACUGUGUUUCUAAUGUGAUUAAAAAGAAUUAUAGAUAGCUUAUUAUUUAUAAUAAUGAUUCAUUUGAUUAUUUUACUAUAAUAUUGAAUGAAUAUUUUGUCAAUGACCGAUGACGAAUUUUUUUUUGGAAUUUUAAGACCUCAGUCAGAUAUACAUAAAACGAGUUUUAUUUUUACUCAUUUAUUAUUAUUAUUAUUAUUAUUAUUAUUGUUGUUAUUAUUAUUAUUAUUAUUAUUAUUAUUAUUAUUAUUAUUAUUAUUAUUAUUAUUAUUAUUAUUAUUAUUAUUAUUAUUAUUAUUAUUAUUAUUAUUAUUAUUAUUAUUAUUUCUUUUGAUUCAUAUUAAUUCAGUUGUAAUACUUUGCUUAAGUGUUUAUUACAAGUAUCUAGAAUUGUUUUCCAUUGAAGAUAUUCGAAAGAAAAGUUUGACUACUUUUUGAAUGUUUUAUCAAUCAUUAUCUACAUUAUUGACAAUUGGUAAAUAUGUCACCAUAUUUCACGUUUAAAUUUUACUAUAUUAUUUAGAUAUACAUAUUUCAUGUUAAUAUAAUUGUAAAAUUAAUUUUUAUCUCCUCCUCAAUUAAAAAAAUGAGUUCUGUCGGGAUCCACAAUUGUGGAUUCUCAAGGGUGCUAAUUCCUUUCCUUCGUGAUCAUAUGAACCCUUAUCUAGAAUCUAAUUGAUUUCAUAUAUUAAUAUUUAUUUAUUUAUUAAUUAACACAUUUCCUAUUUUGACUCUAAAAUUUUAAAUUAUUUAAAUAAAUUAGUUGUUUUUUUAGUCCCACGACGUUGCAACUUAUUUCAAAAUAUUAGGGAUAUAACAAUAAUUCCUGCUAGGUGAUGUUCUAUGGGAUGGUAUCUUGUUAUUCAAACAUUCCAAAAGUAUGUCAAGAAAGAUUUUCUACACAAGCAUAUGUUUAAUCUUUCUAAGGCUAAUUGAAGAUUCAGGAUUAGUUUUCUUCUAAAUUAAGCCUUUUGGGUCUUGGUUCAACUAAUCUAAAACUAAUGUAUUUAAUUCGUAUUACUUUUCCUUCAUUCAGUUGCAUGCAUUGUAUUACUUUUUAUGGGUUUAAUAAGCUUAAAUUCUAACACUUAAAUGAUGUCAUAAAUUUGAAAUAAAUAAGCUGCACUCAAGUGCUGACAUGCUUCAUUUUUAAGACCUAAUGUAGUCAAUUGCUCUACCAGAUAGAAACAAGAGAUGCUAACUAAGCACUGCAGAAAUGAUGUUGAGUUCAUCAUUGUUUGCUUCUUGCCUUAUAGUGAGGGGAUUUUUUUCCGUAUAAAGAGUUAAUGAGGUACCUGUGUUCAAAAGAUUGUGCUAGGGGGUUGCAAAAUUUGGUGAUGGAAUCUUCUUGUUCUUGGUGCAACUAACUGCUUUAAGAAGGUUCUAAAGUUGUUCGUCCGUAAUAGCUUUAUGGUGUGAUUUUAAAGUUUUGGACUAACACUUUUCAGAACCGUCAUAAGCAAGUUAGAAGGUGUCACUAAGAAUAAGGUGGUUCUAUUACUAAAUUUUGCAGCCCUAGCACAAUCAUUUGAACCCAGGUACGUCAUAAACUAUGUAUACGGAGCAAAACCCUCUUCACUAUAAGACAAGAAGUAAACAGUGUUGAACCGAACAUCAUUUGCACAAUGUCAUGUCUAGGGAAAGCAUUGACUACGUUAGGUCUUAAAAAGAAACAUGUCAGCACUUGAGUGUAUCUUAUUUAUCUCAAUUUGUGGCAGCAUUUAAGUGGCACAAUUUAAGCAUAUUACACCUAUUAAAAGUAAUACAGUGAUUUCAAUUGAAUGAAUAAAAAAGAGUAAUAGUAAUAUAAAUUAUUUAUAAAUUAGUUGAAUCAAAACUCACAAAUCUUAAUUAAGAAUACCGCUAAUCCUAAAACUUCAAUUAGCCAUAAAAAUAUUCAAUAUAUGAUUGUGCUAACAACCUUUCUUGACAUAAUUUAGGAAUGAAUUUUAUAACAACACGUUGCAACUCCACCGAUCAUCACCUUGUUGGAAUUAUAUUCAAGAAGAUGUAUUUUGGAAGUUUGUCAUGCUCGAUGGAAUUGCAACAAUUUAGAGUAAUAAAAUGCUUUCUUCUAGGAAGAAGAAAAAUUCCCCCCUUCCUAUCACGUGUUGUUAUUUUUCUUGUUUAAUCAUUAGCUUUGUAUUCUUAUUGCAUUGCUAUUAGGUACCAAAUAAACGAUCUCAUCUUCACUUGCAUUAAAGUUUGCAGCGACGAUUAAUUUUGAAUCAGCCAAAUGAGACAAAGAGUAUUUAUGUGUAAUAAUGAUUUAUAUACAUCACAAAUUAUUACUUUUGUAUAGGUAUACAACACAAAAUUUAUAAGGAUCUACUAUAGCCACAUCUUAUGGAAGGAAUAUGUAUAUCGAGCUUCUAUUCAACUUUUAUAAAACACUAUUCUCAUUGGACAAUAAAGUCUUGAUAUGUAGGCAACUGUAAAAAUGUGGAAACUAGAAUUUUUUAAGAAAGAAGAAAAAAAUAUUAAGACAUGAAACAUUUUACAAUCAUGGCGUCGGCAUUCACAUUUGCGUUUUGAUAUAUUAAAAAAUAUUUUAAAUUUGAACACUUCAGAUAUUAUCUGAAUUUGACUUCUUUUGCUUUCUUUUGUCCUCAUUUUGUACUUAAGCUCUCAUAGAUGAAAUUCAAACAUAUUAGAAUCAGAAAUGGAUAUAAACAAUCAUUGAGGACAUAAUUUGGUGAACUAGAAACCUAAUAUGAGUUUGAAAUCUCUGACUCAUCAUGAACUUUUUUUUAGAAUUCCAAGUUUUUGUUCGAUGCAAUCUAAUAUAGUGGGUGUCAAGUCCCUAUUGUGGUGGAAUUAACUCCUCGCAUAUUGGGUGUUCAUGCUAUGGAGGAGCCGCUAUAGUGGGUUAGGCCGCUAUAGCGGGGUUAAAUUACAGUUUAUGCUGAAAUUCCCCUAAAGCACUCAUUAUUUUAUAAAGCUCAUUUUUGAAAGAGGAAAGGCAACCUAGGGUGAUUUUCUUCACUUUUCUACUAAAUUCUUCAGUAAAGAUAACUAAUUCAUUCCCCUACCUUAUUAUUGUGAUUCUUAGGCCUUAGAAUCCUUGUUGGGUGACCUUAGAGAGAGUUUGACUUGAAUUAAUGGUGGAAAUCCCUAGUUUUUGUAGGGAUGAUAAUAGGAAUCACAUGCAGUUAGGAUUUGAUUAUAAUCCUAGUAUUUAUAGGUCAUUAUUCAUUGAUUGUAUAUUUUGUUAUUGUUUUAGGCUAGGAACAAGCCAAUAUUCAUAAAAAGGGGAAGACUCAUGUUCAAUAGAGCUUCCAAGGCUUGAUUCAAGGUAGGCGAUGGUUGUUUGUUUUCCCGUUUAUCUUAUAUGUGCUUGUAUAGUGCUUCAUUAGUAUUUCAUGCAUGAUACAUGAUUAUGUAAAAGUAAAGAGUAUGAUUUGAAAUGUUCAAUGUUGUCAAUCACAUGCAAUGAAUGUAUUUACUUGAGUGUACAAGUGUAAUUGUUAUACAUUGUGGUUGUGAUUAUGAUGUGUGUUUGAUGGUUGCUCUAGUACUAUGCAUGGUAAAGAAUAUCCACAUAGUUGUCUCAUAUACCCCGUCUGGUAUAUACUAAUGGUUGGCUUGGGUACCAUGCCUAGUACGAGAAUAUCCAUAAAUGGUUUGCUCUGGUACCACAUCGGUACACUAACAGUUUGUGUGUGGGUUCCAUCAGAGAACUUGGUUGAGUUGUUGUAAUAUGGUUGUUCAUUCUUUAUAUGCAUAUCAACUCCAGGUGAUGAAUCAGAGUCCAUAUUAUGCUAUAAGUAAAAUUUAAUUGUAUAUUAGGUAUUUUCCCGAGUUGUAGUUUCUUGUUCAUAUUUCAUAUAACUAGAACUAGCCGAUGAUCCUAACAGUACACGGUAGUUGUGUACUGAUACUGCACAUUCUCUUUCUUUGUUGAUUACAUGGUAUAUUUAGGUGGAUCCUGCUAGGCCUCUACUGUGAGACGGGUGAAAUUUGAUUUCAAGGGUGAGGUACUUCUUCGGGGUUUCCAUAUAUUACUUUUAUCUUCUUAGUUCAUCUCUUCGAACUUAGAGCUUUUAGACAUAUGUUUUCUUGGAUUUUCGAGGUUGCAUCCCUUAUUCUAAACAGUUAUAGUUAUGGUAGAUGACAUUCAGUUUCUAGGGGGUUAAUUAUGUAGUGUUGAUGACAAAUUUUGUUUUAUUUCAAUCUGGAUUUUGGAAUUAUAA